rnacentral:rRNA from 1 species
GAUGAACGCUAGAUACAGGCGGAACACAUGCAAGUCGAGGGGUAACGAGAGGAAAGCUUGCUUUCCUUGUGGACGACAGGAGACCAGGAGAGUAAAGCGUAACCGGCGUGCCCCCAACUAGGGAAUCACCAUGCGAACAUAAGAGUACAAAACAAUACUAUCACCAGAUGUCAUCUGACGAGGAAUAAAGAUUUAUCGGUUGUGGAUGGGGAUGCGUCUGAUUAGCUUGUUGGCGGGGUAACGGCCCACCAAGGCAACGAGCAGUAGGGGUUCUGAGAGGAAGGUCCCCCACAUUGGAACUGAGACACGGUCCAAACGCCUACGGGAGGCAGCAGUGAGGAAUAUUGGUCAAUGGGCGGAAGCCUGAACCAGCCAGGUAGCGUGCAGGAUGACGGCCCUAUGGGUUGUAAACUGCUUUUAUACAGAAAAAAAGUUAGCCACGUGUGGUUAUUUGUAGGUACUGUAUGAAUAAGGACCGGCUAAUUCCGUGCCAGCCGCCGCUGUAA